rnacentral:rRNA from 1 species
AGGACGAACGCUGGCGGCGUGCUUAACACAUGCAAGUCACGGGGGUCCCGCAAGGGAUAACCGGCGAACGGGUGCGUAACACGUGAACAACCUGCCCUCGUGUGGGGGAUAGCCGGGCUAACGCCCGGGUAAUACCGCAUACGUUCUCUUUGGGGAGUCCCGAGGAGAGGAAAGCUCCGGCGCACGGGGGAGGGGUUCGCGGCCUAUCAGCUAGUUGGCGGGGUAAUGGCCCACCAAGGCGACGACGGGUAGCU